rnacentral:rRNA from 1 species
UACAGAGGGGGCAAGCGUUGUUCGGAAUUACUGGGCGUAAAGGGCGCGUAGGCGGCCUGUUAAGUCGAACGUGAAAUCCCCGGGCUCAACCCGGGAACUGCGUCCGAUACUGGCAGGCUUGAAUCCGGGAGAGGGAUGUGGAAUUCCAGGUGUAGCGGUGAAAUGCGUAGAUAUCUGGGGGAACACCGGUGGCGAAGGCGGCAUCCUGGACCGGUAUUGACGCUGAGGCGCGAAAGCCAGGGGAGCAAACGGG